GACGAACGCUGGCGGCGUGCUUAACACAUGCAAGUCGAACGGUGAAGCUCCAGCUUGCUGGAGUGGAUCAGUGGCGAACGGGUGAGUAACACGUGAGCAACCUGCCCCUGACUCUGGAAUAAGCGCUGGAAACGGCGUCUAAUACUGGAUACGAGAAGGGUCCGCAAGGGCACUUUCUGGAAAGUUUUUCGGUUGGGGAUGGGCUCGCGGCCUAUCAGCUUGUUGGUGAGGUAAUGGCUCACCAAGGCGACGACGGGUAGCCGGCCUGAGAGGGCGACCGGCCACACUGGGACUGAGACACGGCCCAGACUCCUACGGGAGGCAGCAGUGGGGAAUAUUGCACAAUGGGCGAAAGCCUGAUGCAGCGACGCCGCGUGAGGGAUGACGGCCUUCGGGUUGUAAACCUCUUUCAGCAGGGAAGAAGCGAAAGUGACGGUACCUGCAGAAGAAGCACCGGCUAACUACGUG
rnacentral:rRNA from 1 species